UACGAAGGGGGCUAGCGUUGUUCGGAUUUACUGGGCGUAAAGCGCACGUAGGCGGAUCGAUCAGUCAGGGGUGAAAUCCCAGAGCUCAACUCUGGAACUGCCUUUGAUACUGUCGAUCUGGAGUAUGGAAGAGGUGAGUGGAAUUCCGAGUGUAGAGGUGAAAUUCGUAGAUAUUCGGAAGAACACCAGUGGCGAAGGCGACUUACUGGACGAUUGUUGACGCUGAGGUGCGAAAGCGUGGGGAGCAAACAGG
rnacentral:rRNA from 1 species